rnacentral:rRNA from 1 species
GACGAACGCUGGCGGCGUGCUUAACACAUGCAAGUCGAACGGUAAGGCCCUUCGGGGUACACGAGUGGCGAACGGGUGAGUAACACGUGGGUGAUCUGCCCUGCACUUCAGGAUAAGCCUGGGAAACUGGGUCUAAUACCGGAUAGGACUCCGGACUGCAUGGUCUGGGGUGGAAAGCUUUUGCGGUGUGGGAUGGGCCUGCGGCCUAUCAGCUUGUUGUUGGGGUGCUGGCCUACCAAGGCGACGACGGGUAGCCGGGCUGAGAGGGUGACCGGCCACACUGGGACUGGGAUACGGCCCAGACUCCUACGGGAGGCAGCAGUGGGGAAUAUUGCACAAUGGGCGCAAGCCUGAUGCAGCGACGCCGCGUGAGGGAUGACGGCCUUCGGGUUGUAAACCUCUUUCAGCAUCGACGAAGCGAAAGUGACGGUAGGUGCAGAAGAAGGACCGGCCAACUACGUGCCAGCCGCCGCCGUAA